GUGCCUUUGCAGUGGGCUCUGCCAAGCGGACUUGCGGGGGAAGCGAGCGGCGAGAGGAGCCCGAGGCGAAAAAGUAGCUGUCAAAUGCGCGGCUCCUUUAAGCGGAGCCCUCAGUCCGGCUCGGAGAGUCAUGGCGACCACAGCGUCUAACCACUACAGCCUGCUCACCUCCAGCUCGCCCAUGGUGCACGCCGAGCCGCCGGGGAGCAUGCAGCCGGGCGCCGGCUACAGGGACGCCCAGGCGCUGGUGCAGGCGGACUACGCGCUGCAGAGCAACGGGCACCCGCUCAGCCACGCUCACCAGUGGAUCACGGCGCUGUCCCACGGCGGCGGCGGAGGCGGAGGCGGCGGCGGAGGGGGCGGCGGAGGCGGCGGCGGCGACUCGCCGUGGUCUACCAGCCCGCUGGGCCAGCAGGACAUCAAGCCCUCGGUGGUGCAGGCCGGCGGCCGGGGGGACGAGCUCCAGCAGCAGCAUCACCAGCAGCAGCAACAGCAGCAGCAGCAGCAAGGCAGACCGCCGCACCUGGUGCACCACGCCGGGAGCCACCACGCCGCCGUGGCCGCCGCCGUGGCGUGGAGGACUGGCGGCUCGGCUCACCUGCCGCCCGGCAUGGCCGCGUCCAACGGCAGCGGCCAGGGCGGGCUCCUGUACUCGCAGCCGCCGGGCUUCACGGUCAACGGGAUGCUGGGCUCCGGGCAGCCGGGCAUGCACCACCACGGCCUGCGGGACGCCCACGAGGAGCAGCAGCAGCCGCCGCCGCCGCAGCCGCCCCCUCACCACCCCGACCACCUCCCGCAGCAGCAGCAGCACCCGCACGGGCAGCAGCAGCAGCAGCACCACCACCACCAUCAGCACCACCACGAGGCGCACUCGGACGAGGACACGCCGACCUCGGACGACCUGGAGCAGUUCGCCAAGCAGUUCAAGCAGCGGCGGAUCAAACUGGGAUUUACCCAAGCGGACGUGGGCUUGGCCUUGGGCACGCUCUACGGCAACGUCUUCUCGCAGACCACCAUCUGCAGGUUCGAGGCCCUGCAGCUGAGCUUCAAGAACAUGUGCAAGUUGAAGCCUUUGUUGAACAAGUGGCUCGAGGAGGCGGACUCGUCGUCGGGCAGCCCCACCAGCAUAGACAAGAUCGCGGCGCAAGGGCGCAAGCGGAAAAAACGCACCUCCAUCGAGGUGAGCGUCAAGGGCGCCCUCGAGAGCCAUUUCCUCAAGUGCCCCAAGCCCUCUGCCCAGGAGAUCACCUCGCUGGCGGACAGCCUCCAGCUCGAGAAAGAGGUGGUCCGCGUGUGGUUUUGUAACAGGAGACAGAAAGAGAAACGCAUGACUCCCCCGGGAGGGACUCUGCCGGGAGCCGAGGACGUGUAUGGGGCCAGCAGGGACACGCCGCCGCCGCACCACGGGGUACAGACUCCUGUGCAGUGAACUCCGCCACCAGCGGAGCAGUGGGAGGAGCAGGGGGGAGCGGGGGGCGACCCCUGGCUCCCUCCCUCCAACCCCUUCCUCCUCCCCCUCCUCCUCCUCCUCCUCCUCCUCCUCCAACCUUUUGAUUGUUUCCCCCUAACCCCUCUUAAAACAAAAGCAGACAAAACAAAACAAAAAAACACAAGGAAGGAAGGCAGGCGCCUGCACUGAACUAUCCUUGAAACGGUAGCAAAGUGUGUAAUGUGUGUUGACCUUUACAGGCGAGUAACCAGGCAAUGAAGUGCAAAACACACGAACUGUUCCUUGGUUUUCAUUCAUACUCGUCCCUUUUUGAGGCUGAAAUAAAGUUGUAAGCCACACCGCAGCUGAUGAGCAACUGAGCCGAAGUAUUUGGAUGUAACCGGACUGCAGAGGAACAAGACUGGGAAGAUGCUCUUCCCCUCCCUUCAAAUCACCCCCUGACAACGUUGCUUCAAAGCGGUCCUUAAUUAUGGAACAACUUGCUUGAUAGUCGGAUAGAAGAAUGCAGCCUUCCCUUCACAAGGCGUCUAAAUUCCACAUGCUCCCUAUCUAUUCAACUAGCCCUAAUGGGCUUUUGCUUCUCAUAUUAUUAUUAAUUAUUAUCUCUGGGGUGGUGCUGGAUUAUGUGGCUUUUGUUGCUCACAACAUUAUGUUUUUAUCUUUCUCUCUCUCUUUCACUGUUGUCCUUGUUGAUAGUGGUGGUGUACAGUUUUCUCCAUGGAGUGAAUUAUUCCUAUUUCAGACACAAUAGGGGAAACACUACACAUUAUCAGGAUUGUUUUUAUUUUUUGCCUUUUCUUUCCUAAAACUCUUGCAACAAAAUUUUUGCAGAAAUGCAUUUCAGCUCAGAACCACCAAAUAAACAGUUAAAUGUGCAAAACUUUCCAAGGCCUAUGAAACCUUUCACAGAGAGAGAAAGAAAACUACCAGCAAAUUAAAAAUUCAAAUGCAUUUCUUUGAACCUCAUAUGUUGGUAACACCCAGAACACACCAGGUUACUACUGUCCAACCCAGGCACCCUGCCUUCUCAGAAUAGUCCCCGUGAAUUUUGUGGAACUCUUCUAGAGUAAAUGUUCAGAGGACUGUAGUACAUUUCAUUCUCAAAGUACUUCCUAUGGCCACUGAAAUCACUUGGAGCUUAUCUGUACACGAAUUUAUUGCCAUGUUGCUGUGACAAGAGGCAAAUGUCCAUUUGCCACCACGUACCUGCAAGCUUAUUUCUAAGCAAUGCCAGUAGGCAGAGCUAAUUCACUAGAAGUUAAUGAAAAUCUACCAGGAGUUACCUGCAGUGUUCUCUACACCUGGAGACAGAUGCCAGCGUUCUUAGGGUAAAAUCCAUAGAAAUGUAUGGUGUGCUUUGAAACUGCUCUGGAUUAACCAGUUCAAAUGGCGCAGGCUGUAUCACCUGUCCUGCCGGAGGUAUCAAAAAUGUGAAAUGUAUAAUGACAAAAUAGGUGAAGGGUUUUCCCCCCCUUAAAUGGGACCCUCUUUUGAACUUCAGAAAUUUGUCCAAUAAAAAGAUAUCACUUUA